AUGGCAGCCCGGGGCGGGGGGCCGGCCCGGCCCCCGUCCCCCUCCGCCCCCGCCGUGACAGCUGCGCCUCCCCGCAGGCCGGGGGGCUGCGGCGGGCGGCGGGGGCCGGGGGCGGCGUGCCGGCCCCGCCAGACACACCCCCGCCCUGCGCGGUGGGGAGCGGGGCGCCCCCGGCCGGCCUCCCCCCCGCGCCCGCUCGCCCGCCCGCCCCGCCGCCAGCUGCGGCGCGGCCGGGCGCCACUCACCUGCCGCCGCUGCCUGGGUGACAGCCGCCUCCCCCCGCCGGGGCUGAGGCCGCGCAGCUCAACGGGCAACGCGACAGCGACUCCCCCGGCCAGGCGGCGGGGGCGGCCCCGGGGGGGCUGCCGGCUCGCAGCAGCCCCCGCCGCGAUCCUGGUGACCGGAGCGGUGGCGGCGGCGGGCGCUGCUGGGGGCCCCGGUUCCCGCUGCGCGGCUCCCGGGCACCCGGGGCCCCUUGCCUGGGCGGCGCGGCGCGGCUGCGGGGCUCCGGCUCGCUCGCCGCUCUCCCUCCCGGCGGGACGGGGCGGAGCUGGGCACGGAGGACGAGGGGGGCGGUGUCGGAGGAGGCCGCCGCGGCCCGGCCCGGGUCCCUCCUCCUCCCUCAGCCGCCGCCGGCCGCCAUCUUCCCUCCCCCACCCCCCCCCACCGGCGGCCUCUCGCCGCGGCCCGGCCCGAGCGGCGGCAGCGCGGGGCAGAGGCGCAGGGGAGCCCGUGGCCCCUCCGCCGCCGGCCCGCGGGCAGGGGCCGGCGGGCGCCAUCUUGGAGGCAGAAGGGGCGGCCGGGGCCUGCCCGCCGCGGCCUGGGGGGCUGGGACAGCGCCGUACCCCGGCGGGGAGCCCCGGGGGGGCCCCGGCGCCAUCACCCCGGCCUCACGGCGGCCUCGGGCCUGCCCUCCCCACGCCUCGCACCUCCCCGGGCACCCCGCGGGCCAGGCGCGCCUGUCGGGGCAGGCCCCGGCAACCAGUGCCCCGGGGUGAAGAGGCCGCGGCAGGGCUCCCGGAGCCCCCAGGAGCUGCUGCCCUGGGGGGGGGAGGCCGCCUGCGUUCGAGGUACCUGUCAGGUUUUGUUUCCCACUCGCCUUCCCUGGCGAGGCUUUAA
rnacentral:lncRNA from 1 species